CUUUGUUUACAAGGUACACUGGCCAUACCUUCCGCUUCAUCCGUCAUGUCCGUGGCCUGAAGAGACUGUAAAAUUUGUGGCCUGAGGAGAUUGUAGGGUCUAUGGCCUGAAGAGACUAUAGGGACCCCAUCCCUCCGCUAUUUCCCGGUAUUGGGCAGCUGGGGUGCAUCCGAUCCCACGAUCGUCGUCGCCCCUAAAUCAACACAACAACAAGGCACACUGGCGAACACCUAGAGGUCGCCGAUUAACGUUUUGCCUUAAGGCACUAAUAUUCAACUCCCUGAAUGGUUGCGACGUCUGUCUAUAAUCGCCACGGGGUAGUUGAUAGAUAUUCUGGCGUUUUCCGGCUUGCACCUCUGGCGUUGAGCAGAGGUAGUGGGGUUCAGCGGCCUCUGGAAGCUCCUGUGUUCCCUCUGGACGUGGAGGGCGCCUGGUUCUCACUCUGCUGGGGUAGUUACCCCUGUGUGUGGUGCUGGUUAUCGAUGCCUGCACUGCCGAGGGUAUUCGGGUGUCGCCAGGUGACCAGCGCCACUUGACAGUUUUCUUUUGCCGUCUGGUUUUUUCGUACCAGAAUAAAAAUUGAUUUCAUAUGGUUCAGCAGGGUACAUACGUCUAGUUUCGUCGUCGUCCUUAAAUCAACAGCAACAACAACAGUGAAGUUCGUCUCCGAUGCUUGUGGACAGUAAAAGACAAAAAAUGCUCCUACUGUCACCGAAAGAAUAAUAUCUGCAGUGCCAGCACCCAGUGGCAUUAGAUCUCAUGUGAGUGUCACAUAUACUGCAUACAUGAUACGUCAGCACACUCAUGAAUCACGGUGUCAGAUAUACUGCAUACAUGUUCAUGUAUUAUCAAUAUCUUAUGCAAUAUGGCACUAUGGUAACACAUCUGAAACACUGUGCAAGCAUUAUCAUCUCAUGCACUAUGGCAACAAAGGAAAUGUGUAUUUAAAUACAAAUUUGGUGUAUCAUUAAUUUUAAAAUUUCAGUAUUUAUUAAUUUGUGUGUAUGUGCUACAGAUAUUUAUGGUUUUAAUAUUUUUGUUUGUCAAGAAAACAUUUUAAGAUUGGUAAAUUAAUUAUUUUUUCAAGGUACUUUUAUUCUCAGGUCCUAAUGUAAAAAAGUUUUAUAUUUUUUUUUUUUUUAAACGUUACACACUUUUCUCCUAUGUGAGCUACUGUAAAUGUUGAGAGAGCAUUUAAAAAAUAUAAUCUUAAAGCUAUAUACAUGACAAUUAUGAAUUUUUUUCUUUGGUAAUUUACUGUCUAAGCUCAAAAAGCUUUCCAAGUAAGAUAAUUUAUAGUAAGGGAUUUAAAGAUGGUAUGGGAUUAAAAAAUAUUA